GCUAGUCCCUAAGCUAAAUAGAUUAAAAAAAUAUUAAAACAACUACUGUAGUUAAGAAAGAAUCCUUAGCUAAGGAAACUAAGGAUUUGAUCCUUAACUGUUUAUCUCUCUCUCUCGCCUUCUUUUUUCCUUCGGUUACCCGCAAACUUCUAACUCCAAUCCGAUCUCGCCAAUUCCAAUUUAGGGUUUUUGAAAGUUUCGAUCUUUGUAGUUUGGAUUCGAGAAGAAAAUGGCAGAAUCAGGAGGAGGGUGGCGCGAUUCGUAUAGGGGAAUGUCGUCUGAUAACGUAAAGGGUUUGGUGUUGGCAAUCUCUUCUAGUCUGUUCAUCGGAGCUAGCUUCAUCGUCAAGAAGAAAGGUCUCAAGAAAGCCGCCUCCACCGGCACUAGGGCUGAGUGCAGGUGAUGAUCUUGGCUUUGCUAUCAUCCCUACGUCUCUUUGGCUUUGGACUGGUCUGGUGGUGGUGGUGGUUCGGACUUGCAGAGUGCAGGAAUUCGCUACUUUAGAAGCAAGUAUUGGGUUUCACACUGAUUGUGGCUUCUCUUACAUCCAUUCACGUCUUCCUGGUCAUCUAGGAGAAUUCUUGGCUUUAAGUGGGGAAAGAUUGAAUGGCAAAGAACUUGUAGCAGUUGGCAUGGCAAUACAUUUUGUACCUUCUGCUGUGAGUUUUUUCUUUUUUUAAUGCUUUUCCUUAGUUAGAAGUAUCAUGUAAUGUGACCUCUCUUACUUGA